rnacentral:tRNA from 1 species
CGCUGUAGCUCAGCUGGUAGAGCGCGUGAUUUGUAAUCUCGAGGUCCUGGGUUCGAAUCCCUGCGGC